rnacentral:rRNA from 1 species
UACGUAGGCAGCGAGCGUUGUUCGGAGUUACUGGGCGUAAAGAGUGCGUAGGCGGUUUUCUAAGUUUGGUGUGAAAUCUCCCGGCUUAACUGGGAGGGUGCGCCGAAGACUGGAAGGCUUGAGUAUGGGAGAGGUAAGCGGAAUUCCUGGUGUAGCGGUGAAAUGCGUAGAUAUCUGGAGGAACACCGGUGGCGAAGGCGGCAUCCUGGACCAACACUGACGCUGAGGAGCGAAAGCCAGGGGAGCAAACGGG